AGAGAGAGAGAGAGAGAUAUUACACUAGGUGCUCAAAGCACCCAACAGAAACCAAUUGCCUUUAAGGCAGCCAGCUGGAGUUUCCAAUCAAGAAAGCCCUACUCAGAGCAGAUGUCCUGUCAGGUGAAUGAUGAAACAAAUACAAGAAUAUGACAUCAUCAAGCUGAGCAUUCACAGCAUCACCUGGAUCCUGAGUGGGGAAGUUAAGGCAGGUGGUUGGAGUUCCCAGUUGAGCUUUCUUUCCGUGGCUGAGCUGAGCUUCCCAGGACUGGAUUUUCAGCUUCUCCUUCCCACUGCAGGCAUUUGUAUCAUGGAUGAAUAAGAGUGGGCAGGAGGGCAGCCCAUCCCCAGACAAGGGACUUUGAGGGAACGCUAUGAACCAAACUCGAUUAGGUCUGAAACCGAGGGCAAUCCCACUUCCAGAAUCAGCUUCUCAGUGAACUCAAACAGCAUACAUUCGACUUCUGUCGUCAGGGCUGGCAGCAUGGCUCAGCAGCUAAGAGUGCUUGUUGGCCUUGCAGAGGACCUUGGUUUGGAUACCAGAACACACACGACAACUCACAGCUAUAAGCACAGUUCCAGAAGGUCCAAUGCCAACCUUUAUCACCUUUAGGAACUUCACAAUACAGUAUAUGUCCAUGCAGGCCUAGAAAUAAACAAAUAUAUUUUGAAUUUUUUUAAAUUUCUGUUGUCAUUGGAAUGUAUCGUGGCUUUUCCAAAAUCUGUGUCUUUUCCGAGUGGGAAAUAUGUAUGCACAUUUGACACAUUCUGCACUGCAUGCAGCAAAGUAGGGCAUGGCUAGCCUCUAUAACAAAUAUCUCAGUGCUAAGGUUGAGGAUCUCUCUCUUAGUGUAUAUAUCCACUUAAUUACAGGCUCUUAAAAGACCAUCUGGUCUAGAGAGAACUAAGUCAGAGUAACCAAAGAGAGACAUUUUGUUUCCUUGAGCCUUUAAGUUUGUUACGUGAAUGACUUACACUAGCCCAACUUAAAAGUGGACCUCAUUGGUUACAUUAUACAACAUUAAGGUUUUAACACUUGUAACAAGUCCCAGAAGGGAAAUUCUGCUCCUUGCAAAUAAUUCUCACUUAACCUUCAGAAAACCACUAGUACGUACAACCUGGAAGGUAUCCAGAGAGAUCGAUGAAGCACUUGCCACACAAAGAUCAGAACCAAAAUCCAGAUGCUUAGCACCUGCAUGAAAGCCAGCAGGCUUGGUGGCCAAUCCGUACUCAGCACUCAGGAGGUGGAUACAGAAGGUUCCCAGAACUAGCAGACUAGCUAGACUAGCUCUGUUCAUCAACAGACUCUCUCAGUAAACAGAAAAUACAUGAGCAAAAAAGAUGACCAAUGUCAAUCUCACACAUGAGGUCAUAUAUGCAACACACACACACUC
rnacentral:sRNA from 1 species